UCGGGGUCGCUUGUGUUUUCGUGUGGGGUGCAGGGUGUUGCGUGAGCGCUGCCUUGUGUGGUAGACGAGAGAGGCGGGUGAGUGUUGGUGAAGGGGUGUGAGUGGGCCUGUGUUAAAGAAGGUUGUGCUUGGAAGGGAAGAGAGCGCUUAGGGGUUGUGUGUUAUCGCUUCUCGGCCUUUUGGCUAAGAUCAAGUGUAGUAUCUGUUCUUAUCAGUUUAAUAUCUGAUACGUCCUCUAUCCGAGGACAAUAUAUUAAAUGGAUUUUUGGAACAGGGAGAUGGAAUAGGAGCUUGCUCCGUCCACUCCACGCAUCGACCUGGUAUUGCAGUACUUCCGGGAACGGUGCACCUCCCUUUGGGAGACAACUAUUUGUAUAAAUAGCAGUACUGAAUGUUGGGGUGGCAUCGGUGUUGCGAGGGUGGUGAUCGAUGCUAUCAGAAGUUCUAGAAGUCUUAACUUACUGACAUUAGACACAUUUCUCAAUAAUCCAAAAUAAAGUAAGAUGCCACAAUUCAA